AACGGCCGUACUAUUCUGAAUAUACCGGUUCUCGUUAGAUCACCGAAGUCAAGCAUCAUUGGGCGCGGUCAGUACUUGGGUGGGUGACCACCUGGGAACACCGCGUGCCGUUA
rnacentral:rRNA from 1 species